rnacentral:misc_RNA from 1 species
UUUCCGUAGGUGAACCUGCGGAAGGAUCAUUACCGAGUUAGGGUUGCCUUCUAGGUGCCCGACCUCCCAACCCUUUGUCUAUGAUACCACAGUUGCUUCGGCGGACCGAGGGGUCAUACCCUCGCCUGGUCGACCUGGCCGGGAGAGUCUGUCCGUCGAUGGCCCAACCAAACAAACUCCCAAACCAAAAUGUAUGUGAAACACAAUUCUGAAUCAGACCUUUUGAUAUACCAAUCAAAAACAAAACUUUCAACAACGGAUCUCUUGGUUCUGGCAUCGAUGAAGAACGCAGCC